UUCUGCUACUUAUGUAUGGGUAGCUAAAAAAUUUAACUUUAACAAAAAUAUGUUUUUAUAGAUAUUUGUUAAACCAUGUUGACCAGUUUGAGUCAGCAUGUUGCACCGCUCUCGACCAAAAUCAGCCAAUCAGAACCAGGAGGAGGGGCUUAGCGCUGUCAGUCAACCUUGUGUGCAUGCUGCUAAAUGUGCUAAUGGUGGAGAAACAACUUGCCGUUCCAGUAAAACUGUUUAUCCGCCGUCAUCGCUGUGCUAACUAGCGUUAUCAUUUACGAGAGAUGAUGGUUUUAACAAAUGCGUAAAGAAAACUUUUUUAUAUCCUGCUGCUUUAAACAACAACUAAAUAAAUACAUUUUUAUUUUUUACUCUUUCAAAUCCAACCUUUCAUGGCUCUCUGGGUUUUGGUUUUGCAUUGCGACCCAAAGGCUCCUCAGUGGGCCCCRUCCGGCCCCCCCGGCCCGCCGUACAAACUCGUGUGAGCGUAUUAUUUGCCGGGUUUAAACGUUGUGUUUCCAGGCUGGAUCAUUAACGUGUAACUACAUUGUUCACGGCUUAUCAGAAUAUUUACGUCUCACCAUGAGAUGUCUGCGCCCCGGCCGAUCACCGGGCCGGCCCCGACAGAGACAGAGUGAGCCAAAAUACCAGGAGAGGGAGAGAAGAGAGAGAAAGAAAGAGUGGGAGUGGUUGCCCCAAAUACCAUCUCUAAAUAUAGGGAGGGGGGCACAAGGUGCAGAGGAGAGGAGCUGGAGGACAAAGGGAUUCAGGACGGGGAUUAAUUCUCGCCUCRUUCAGCGGUCCUGAUCCCUGCGAGUUUCCGGACAGAAAGAUGGCGGCCGGAGCUCAGCUGACUUACAUACAUGGAGUUGAUUGGACUGCGCCACCUGAUCSUAAUGGAGAGGGGGAACUUGUACUUUCCUUAUUUACUGAAACRGGCUUUUGUAUUUAAGUUAAUAUUUUAUUUUGAACGUAACACGUCUGACUUCCAUUUCUUUCCAGUAUAUAAACACACAUACAGCUCUGGACAAAAUGAAGAGCUCACUGCACUGAACCUCAUUGAAAACCUGCUGUUGUUCCUAAAUGACUAUUAAAUUGUUUUCUUUGCAUUA